AUGCAGAGGACAUGCCAGGGAGGAGCUGAUGAAGAACUAGCAAACAAACCAGCAACAGUCUACAGGAAAAGAAAAAUCACAGCGUUCCUAAAGCCCCAAACCUUCAAGGGACCGGAGCUGAAAACAUGGCAUAGAGCUCUCCUCAGGGAAGGAGAGACAGUUUCCUUCUCAGGGAAGGAGAGAAGGCUGCAGAGGUUCCUGGGUACCAGACCAUCUUCUACUCCAAACCUCUGCGGCCCUUCUGCUUUCCCAUCUGCCCACGCUCACAAGGUCAGUCCGGACCCCCAGAAGAGCCUUUGGGGCAGGCAGAGGGUCGAGGAUCACAGGCACGCACGCACUCAUGGCUGGGAGGUCCCCCCAGCCCCUGCUUCUCGGGCAUCGGUUAAUUGCAGAUCAUGAGCAUGCGCAGGGGUGCGCGUAGCUCCCUCAUGACCCUGCCUUCUUGGCGUCAUUCUGUCAGAGCCAGGACUAGAGCCAGCCUCCUCUGGUUGACUGGGCACUGAGGACAGCAGGCUUCACAUACCCUGGUACUGGUCAGCAGUCAGCAUGCCCAUGGGAGUGUGUUUAGCCAGUAAGGAGCAUGGUCCGGCAUUUUAGCAUGGACAGCAGUUAAAAGACAAAGAGCCUACCUGGCACCGUGGUCCACGCCUGUAAUCCCAGUACUAGGGAGGCUGAGGCAGGAGGAUCGGAUCACUGUGAGUUCCAACCCAGCCUGAACUACAUAGCAAGACCCUGUCUUAAAAAAAUAAACAAAAAAGGACAAAGAGCCUUUAUCCUAGCAAAGGUUGGCUUUCACCUAUGAGCUCAUACCCUCUCCCUUCCAUUCCUCUCUCUGCUUCUCCUGCUGUUCUGAUCUGGGCUUGCAAAUUCUAGUCUGGUGUUUGCUCCCCAACCUCCAUCUCCCUCUGCCUUCAGGAUUUGGGGUGACUCACUUUUACUUUCAUGAAACCACUGGCCCUGGCAUAGGAUUCCAAAUGGCAUCAAUGACCCCAUCCUAAUAGGGUCGCCCCUGCCUGCUGGCCCGCCUCUCCCCACAGGACAGGAAGCUGGGGUGGAGGUCCGCAGGACGUCGCUGUGCUGGGCACAGAGUCCCUCUGGAGAGCAGAAGAGGCAGGAGUGUCGGGGACCCCACUUCCCUGGAGGAGGUGCCGCAUUCGUCUCUGGUCCUCCUCCACUCAGCCCAUCUACAGGUGACCCUAGGCCCCAGAGAUUCUUGCACUAUUUGUCGCAGUGAUCAGCUUAUUUCACUUAGCAUAAUGUUCCCAGAGCUCAUCCAUGUUACAGCAUGUGUCAGAAUUUUUCCCAUUUUUUUUUUCGUUUUGUGGGGUUUUGAGGGGAUUUGUUUUUGCUUUUUGUUUUUGUUUUUCUUUUUUUUUUUUUUUUUUUUUGAGACAAGGUCUCACUAUGUGGGUCUAGGUUGGGUAUGAAUUCACUACAUAGUCUAGACUGGCCUCAAGUUCAUGGCAAUCCUCCUGCCUCAGCCUCUAGAUUUUCUUUUUAAAGUUGAAUAAUAUUCCAUUGUGUAUAUGUAUUGCAUCUUGGAUCAGAUUGGAUUGGAUUGGACUGGAUUGGAGACAGGGUCUCCCUAUGUAGUUCAGGCUGGCCUUGAACUCACUAUGUAGCCCAACCUGGCCUCGAACUUGUGGUGAUCCUCCUGCCUCCUCCUUCUGGGUUCUUGGAUUAUAAAUGUGCACUAUCACAUCCGGUUACAUCUUGUUUCUUGCUUCAUCCAUCCGUGGACACUUGGGUUGCUUCCACCUUUUAGUUAUUGUGAAUAAAGCUGCUAUGAACCCAGUGUACAAAUAUUUGAAUCUAUUUGCUAUUUCUUUAAAAGCACACGUUAUGAAAGGGAUGGUUAUUUUUUUCCUUCUUUUUCAUUUCAUGUUCCCACUUUCAUGUUCUCCACAUCCUAUGCCAACACUUGCUAUUUCUUUUAACUUUUUUGGUGCUGAGGAUUGGACCUGGGGCUUUACACAUGCUAAGGUCAUAUGCUAGCUCUGAGCUAUAUCCUAACCCCCAGGAUGGCUACCUUUUAAAGGACACAUAGAAAAUGGGUAGAUAAGGGGCAGGGAGAGGAGAUCACCUGCACUGCAGGUCCUUGAAUAUGUUCCCAUUUUUUGAGUCACCUGAAUGUAUUACUUAUUUUAAAAAGUUAUGGCUAGGAUGUAGCUCAGUAGUAGCACACUUCCCUAGCAUGCAGGAGAUUCAGUCUGAUCCCCCGUACUGUGAAA
rnacentral:lncRNA from 1 species